rnacentral:rRNA from 1 species
UACAGAGGUCUCAAGCGUUGUUCGGAUUCAUUGGGCGUAAAGGGUGCGUAGGCGGCGCCAUAAGUCAGGUGUGAAAUCUCGGGGCUCAACCCCGAAACUGCAUUUGAUACUGUGGUGCUCGAGUACUGGAGAGGAGAUUGGAAUUUACGGUGUAGCAGUGAAAUGCGUAGAUAUCGUAAGGAAGACCAGUGGCGAAGGCGAAUCUCUGGACAGUUACUGACACUGAGGCACGAAGGCCAGAGGAGCAAACGGG